UUUUGGGAAUGUCCCACUGUUGAGUUUCACCUGCAGACAUCUUUCCUACUUGCUAAAGACAGUUCUUCUCUCCACCAGAUUUAUAAAAGCACAACAUAUAACAAGGAAAUCAAUCUUCUGUCUAUCAUAUGAAGAUAUGGAGGCUCAAAGAGUUUCACUCACUUAACCUAACGUCACCCAGUUGGUAAGCAGCAGAAUGGACACUUUGUCUGUUUGGCGCCAAAGCCCAUGAUCCUGCAUUCCACGUGGGCCCUGGGGACGGUGCACUUCGGCAGGGCUGGGAUCAACGGAGGUGAAUGAGGCAAGCAUGAGGAUUACACAUCUCUGCUCCCCUUGUAGUCCGGAGAGGCCAUGUGACUAGGUCUGACCUAUGGGUGGUGAACAGCGGUGAUCCUGUUAUUUCUGAGCUGAUGCAUUUGAUUUGAUUUAGAUUGAUCUAAAGGCCUCCACCAUUCUCUCCUGCACACUGACUGAGGAGGCAGCAUGUCCCAGAUGGUAAAGCUACAGGAUGGUGGCAUCUCUGUCUGCCUGGAUUGCUGAGUCACAACAUGGAGGGCAGCUGCUCUAGAAGUGACCCAGACCUGCAGUGGGUAUUGUAUGCAUGGGGAAUCAACUUUGGUUGUGUCGAGUCAUCAAUGUCUUGAUAUGGCUUGUUCCCAAACCAUUCCCUCACCUAGUCUGACUAAUACUAUUGAAAAGCUGAAAUUUUAAAAAUCUGAUUAAAAGAAAAAACUAUCAAUACUGAAAGUAAAUUACAAAAAUGAGGAAAAAAAUUGUGCUGUUGUCAAAUGCAGAUUAUACAUGGUUUAAUUUUUGGCACGUAAGGUCUAGCGUUCAGAGGAGCAUCCAAGAAACUUUAUGAGCAUAACAUGCUGAUGGGAAUUUUAUCCAUUUGGCAGAAGUCAGAGCAAAAUUUGAUAAUAUUAUGGCAGAACAUUUAUGCAUGAUAUAAAUAUUGACACCAAAU
rnacentral:lncRNA from 1 species